rnacentral:rRNA from 1 species
GGCUCAGGAUGAACGCUGGCGGUCUGCUUAACACAUGCAAGUCGAACGGAGUACUUCGGUACUUAGUGGCGGACGGGUGAGUAACGCGUGAGAAUCUGCCCUUAGGACGGGGACAACGACUGGAAACGGUCGCUAAUACCCGAUGUGCCGCAAGGUGAAACCUAUUUGGCCUGAGGAUGAGCUCGCGUCUGAUUAGCUAGUUGGAGGGGUAAUGGCCCACCAAGGCGACGAUCAGUAGCUGGUCUGAGAGGAUGAUCAGCCACACUGGGACUGAGACACGGCCCAGACUCCUACGGGAGGCAGCAGUGGGGAAUUUUCCGCAAUGGGCGAAAGCCUGACGGAGCAAGACCGCGUGAGGGAAGAAGGUCUGUGGAUUGUAAACCUCUUUUGACAGGGAAGAAGUUCUGACGGUACCUGUCGAAUCAGCCUCGGCUAACUCCGUGCCAGCAGCCGCGGUAAUACGGAGGAGGCAAGCGUUAUCCGGAAUUAUUGGGCGUAAAGCGUCCGUAGGUGGUUUAGUAAGUCUGCUGUCAAAGCGCGGAGCUUAACUCCGUAAAGGCAGUGGAAACUACUAGGCUAGAGUGCGGUAGGGGCAGAGGGAAUUCCCAGUGUAGCGGUGAAAUGCGUAGAGAUUGGGAAGAACAUCGGUGGCGAAAGCGCUCUGCUGGGCCUGCACUGACACUGAGGGACGAAAGCUAGGGGAGCGAAAGGGAUUAGAUACCCCUGUAGUCCUAGCCGUAAACGAUGGAUACUAGGCGUUGCCCGUAUCGACCCGGGCAGUGCCGUAGCUAACGCGUUAAGUAUCCCGCCUGGGGAGUACGCUCGCAAGAGUGAAACUC